rnacentral:rRNA from 1 species
CGACCUGAGAUCAGACGAGACUACCCGCUGAAUUUAAGCAUAUUAAUAAGCG